rnacentral:rRNA from 1 species
UACGUAGGGAGCAAGCGUUGUCCGGAAUCAUUGGGCGUAAAGAGCGCGUAGGCGGUCCGGUAAGUCGGUUGUGAAAACUGGGGGCUCAACCCUCAGAGGCCGACCGAUACUGCCGGGCUAGAGUCCGGAAGAGGCGAGUGGAAUUCCUGGUGUAGCGGUGAAAUGCGCAGAUAUCAGGAGGAACACCGAUGGCGAAGGCAGAUCUCUGGGCCGUAACUGACGCUGAGGAGCGAAAGCGUGGGGAGCGAACAGG